ensembl:lncRNA
AAGGAGGGGGAUUAGCUCAAAUGGUAGAGCACUUGUUUAGCAUGCGAGAGGUAGCGGGAUCGAUGCCCGCAUCCUCCAAAUGCUGCUCUGUUUUCAGUUUCAGAAACUAUUCCCAUGUACCUUUGUAGUGAUGCCUGUUAAGGUUCAUAUAUUAAUCUACUCACCCAAUCAUUUUACACCCUGUCUGGUAAUGUGGAGAUCUAGCUUUUAAUGAAGGGGGAUUAGCUCAGAUGGUAGAGCGCUCGCUUAGCAUGCGAGAGGUAGCGGGAUCGAUGCCCGCAUCCUCCAAAUGCUGCUCUGUUUUCAGUUUCAGAAACUAUUCCCAUGUACCUUUGUAGUGAUGCCUGUUAAGGUUCAUAUAUUAAUCUACUCACCCAAUCAUUUUACACCCUGUCUGGUAAUGUGGAGAUCUAGCUUUUAAUGAAGGGGGAUUAGCUCAGAUGGUAGAGCGCUCGCUUAGCAUGUGAGAGGUAGCGGGAUCGAUGCCCGCAUCCUCCAAAUGCUGCUCUGUUUUCAGUUUCAGAAACUAUCCCUUUGUAGGAAUGCCUAUAAAGGUUCAUAUAUUAAUCAACUCAUCCAAUCAUUUUACACCCUGUCUGGUAAUGCGGCGAUCUCAGCUUUAAAGAAGGGGGAUUAGCUCAGAAGGUAGAGCGCUUGCUUAGCAUGCGAGAGGUAGCGGGAUCGAUGCCUGCAUCCUCCAAAUGCUGCUCUGUUUUCAGUUUCAGAAACUCUCCCUCAGUACCUUUGUAGGGAUGCCUGUAAAGGUUCAUCCAUUUAUCUACUCAGGCAUUCAUCUUACACCCUGUCUGGUAAUGCGGAGAGUUUAUUGGUAAGGAAGGGGGAUUAUCUCAGAUGGUAGAGUGCUCGCUUACCAUGCGGGAGGUAGCGGGAUCAAUACCUGCAUCCUCCAAAUGCUGCUCUGUCCUGGUAGACGGGGUGGUCUAUGCUGCAUACAUUCAUUUGGUAUUACAAUUUGCACAUGGAUUCUUACCUAGGCUUGAGGGUCUUGUAGUGACCCUCAGGCUCAGAUGUGUAUACAGGUAUACUUGUUCCCACAAUGUGAAGCUCAGACAUUGUUGAGUUCCCUUUGAAAGGAAAUGUCUGUUAUGCAUGUAACCUUGUUCCCUGAGAAGGGAACGAGACAUUGCCUAGCUUCGUCAUACUGGGGUAUGCCUGUAAAUUGUGUCUUUGCUUCAGAUAAAAAUAAGCUUAUGACGUGGUAUACAGGUGCUCUUUUAUAUUCACUCGACGCACAAAAUGC